rnacentral:rRNA from 1 species
UACGGAGGGAGCUAGCGUUAUUCGGAAUUACUGGGCGUAAAGCGCACGUAGGCGGCUCGUUAAGUCGGAUGUGAAAGCCCUCGGCUCAACCGAGGAAGUGCAUACGAAACUGGCGAGCUUGAAUAUGGAAGAGGGUCGCGGAAUUCCCGGUGUAGAGGUGAAAUUCGUAGAUAUCGGGAGGAACACCAGUGGCGAAGGCGGCGACCUGGGCCAAUAUUGACGCUGAGGUGGCGAAAGCGUGGGGAGCAAACAGG